AUCUGCCUCAACCGAUCCCCACUGGCAUGCCUGCUGCACCACAGCCUGCUGGUAGAACUGGUACAAAGGCUCUUCCUCCAACAGCCGGCCGUCACUGUCAUCCACAACAGCACAGGAAUACCGUGAUUGUUCUCCACACAGCUCUGCAAUACACGCACCUGGGCUCAGCACAGGGGGUCUCUGGUGGUAGGGAAGAGGAGGAGCCUGCAAGGCAUCACGCUGGCUGUCACAUCGACGGUGAAAGCACCACAUGUGCUGCUUGUUACAGGCAUCAACAAAAACAGU